UACGAAGGGGGCUAGCGUUGCUCGGAAUUACUAGGCGUAAAGCGCACGUAGGCGGCUUUCUAAGUCGGGGGUGAAAUCCUGGAGCUCAACUCCAGAACUGCCUUCGAUACUGGAAAGCUCGAGUCCGGGAGAGGUGAGUGGAACUGCGAGUGUAGAGGUGAAAUUCGUAGAUAUCGGGAGGAACACCAGUGGCGAAGGCGGCCUUCUGGACAGUGACUGACGCUGAGACACGAAAGCGUGGGGAGCAAACAGG
rnacentral:rRNA from 1 species